rnacentral:rRNA from 1 species
UAACAAGGAUUCCCCUAGUAACUGCGAGUGAAGCGGGAAAAGCUCAAAUUUAAAAUCUGGCAGUCUCACUGUCCGAGUUGUAAUCUGGAGAAGCAUUUUCUGUGUCAGACCGUGUACAAGUCUCUUGGAAUAGAGCGUCAUAGAGGGUGAGAAUCCCGUCCAUGACACGGAUCGCUGAUGCUUUGUGAUAUGCUCUCGAAGAGUCGAGUUGUUUGGGAAUGCAGCUCAAAAUGGGUGGUAAAUUCCAUCUAAAGCUAAAUAUUGGCGAGAGACCGAUAGCGAACAAGUACCGUGAGGGAAAGAUGAAAAGCACUUUGGAAAGAGAGUUAAACAGUACGUGAAAUUGUUGAAAGGGAAACGCUUGAAGUCAGUCGCGUCGUCUGGAAUUCAGCCCAGCUUGCUCGGUGUACUUUCCAUUUGACGGGUCAACAUCAAUUUUGGUUGGUGGAUAAAGGUAUCGGGAAUGUGGCACCUUCGGGUGUGUUAUAGCCCUUUGCUGCAUACACUGACUGGGAUUGAGGACUGCAGCACGCCACUAUGGCCGGGGGUUCGCCCCACGUAACGUGCUUAGGAUGUUGGCAUAAUGGCUUUAAGCGACCCGUCUUGAAACACGGACCAAGGAGUCUAACAUGCUUGCGAGUGUUAGGGUGGAAAACCCUUGCGCGUAAUGAAAGUGAUAGUUGGGACCCUUCGCGGGGGCACCGACGCCCGGCCCUGAAGUUUACUGACGGUGCUGCGGUAGAGCACGUAUGUUGGGACCCGAAAGAUGGUGAACUAUGCCUGAAUAGGGUGAAGCCGGGGGAAACUCUGGUGGAGGCUCGUAGCGAUUCUGACGUGCAAAUCGAUCGUCAAAUUUGGG